CAGGAGCUCACGUGGCUGAACACACGAGCGGAGGCUCAGGGGCCCGCCGCAGCCUCCUUCCCAGACCAUCAGCUCCACUUCACGGCCUCCUCUCCGGCCUGUGGGGGCCAGGGCGUCGGGGAGACGCUCGGGAGGAAGGCCCACACCUCCCUAACGCUCUGCUGCCCGUGAAGGAUACAGUCUCCCGGCUGACUUGAUAAACAAGCCAUCCACCUUGCAGUGGUGAUGGUGAUGAUGAUGAUGGCGAUGCUGGUGGUGAUGAUGAUGGUGGUGGUGAAGAUGAUGAUGGUGAUGGUGGUGAUGGUGAUGACGAUAACGAUGAUGGUGAUGGUGGUGAAGAUGAUGAUGUUGGUGACGAUGAUGGUGGUGAUGGUGCUGAUGGUGGUGAUGAUGAUGAUGAUGAUGGUAAUAGUGACAAUCCAGCAUCAUUCUAAACAAACAAAGCUCCUACUGGGUGACCCCCAUCUCCCACACUCUGGGCCAAACUCUAAGACCCCAAGAUUGGUCCACACUCUCUGUGUCAGGGUUCUCCAGAGAAACAGAACCAACAGGAGGUGCGUGUGUGUGGAGAGAGAAUUUAUUUCGAGGAAUUGGUUCACGCGAUCGUGGAGACUGGAAAGUCCAGAUUUUGCGGGGUAGACCAGCGGGCUGGAGACCCAGGGAAGAGGUGAUGUGGGAAGUCGAGAAAGAAGGCCAUCUGGAGGCACCGUUCUCAGACUAUUUCAUCAGGAGCAUACGACGGCGAUUUCUUGCGUGUCUCUACUGCCGCUGUGCGGAUGGACCCCAUUCUGUUUAUCCAUUUGUCUGUUGUUGGGUAUUUGGGUUGUUUGCACCUUUUGGUUAUUUGUGAAUAAUUCUGAGGUGAAAAUGCGUGUACAAAUUUUGCGUGAAAAUGUGUUUUCAUUUCUGUUGGGCCUAGGCCUAAGUGUGCGACUGAGGGGUCAAAUGGAAACUGAGGAACAGAACAGGGGUGGACUCAUGGAGGCGUUAGCGUGCCGUCAUAGAUUAGGGAGGCUCAAACAUCAUUGAACAAUGUGACACCCAAGGUGGGC
rnacentral:lncRNA from 1 species